GAAUGACUAGUUGCUUAAGCGUUCACAUUAGGGUCACACAAUCAAUUACUUCUUGAAUGUAUCAUCUCUAUUUCUAAUAUUUGAACACACAAGGAAACUAUAAUCUCUUCCUUCACCUUAUCGGUCUCUUCCUUAUAGCAAUUCAAUCAUACCAAUAAUUGCUAUUUCCACCAAUAUAUUCACCCUCAUAAUCUCCAAUUGUAAUACUAUGCCCUCACACCUUUCAGCACACAAUUACCCUCAUUCCAAUAACUAGAAUUCUUCACACAGAAUUGCCAUUCACAUUACGGUGUUUCACACAAACACAGACUCAUUCUCUCUGCUGAACUACAAUAAAAUUUCAGCAUUCAAUCUUUCUUCUUCUCAAAUAAUACCAAUCACAUUUCCAUUCCAUAAUUCACUUCACAAUAUUCAGAAACUCUCAA
rnacentral:lncRNA from 1 species